rnacentral:lncRNA from 1 species
GUUGGGGAUGUGCCUAACAACCAGCAGUUUCCAUCAUAAAACAAGGCAACCCCAUCACCUAAAUAUACAUUAUAAGGAGACAUAUCCUCACUUUUCAGCCCCAAUUCCUCCACCAAUCUGGUGGAAAUAAGGCUAUGACUCGUCCCACUGUCAAUCAACACCAAUACCUUUCUCCUUUGCACUCAACCUCGCAGUUUCAUUGUUUUAGAUUACGUUAAACCACCUGCAGAUAAUAUAGAUAACUCCAUGUUUUUUGUUCAAUUUUGGGACCCUCCUCUACCUCAUCUUCUUCGUCUUCCUCCCCUCCGUCGGCUUUGACAGUUCCCUUCGACAAUCCCUGAUACGUCUCUAUCCUCGUGACUGUCCCCGAGCUUGAGUUACAUCUUCCCUCCUGUCGCUCUGUUGCCAGCUCCUCACAAAUGGUGCCUCGAUUUAGUCCGCCAAACCUCCGUGUUAGAGUAUCGGUGAACAUCUUCCAAGUCGGAUGUGUGGUUUUCUUCCGCCAGAAGCAGAACCAAAAGCUCGCUAAACUUCCCUCCAUGCAUCUAUAGACGAACUUCAUCUUCUCCUUCUUCGUCACGCG